rnacentral:rRNA from 1 species
AGGACGAACGCUGGCGGCGUGCUUAACACAUGCAAGUCGAGCGGAAAGGCCCUUCGGGGUACUCGAGCGGCGAACGGGUGAGUAACACGUGAGCAACCUGCCCCUAGCUCUGGGAUAGCCUUCGGAAACGGGGAUUAAUACCGGAUAUUCACUGCUUCCUGCAUGGGGGGUGGUGGAAAGUUUUUCGGCUGGGGUGGGGCUCGCGGCCUAUCAGCUUGUUGGGGGGGUGACGGCCCACCAAGGCGACGACGGGUAGCCGGCCUGAGAGGGCGACCGGCCACACUGGGACUGAGACACGGCCCAGACUCCUACGGGAGGCAGCAGUGGGGAAUAUUGCGCAAUGGGCGGAAGCCUGACGCAGCGACGCCGCGUGCGGGAUGAAGGCCUUCGGGUUGUAAACCGCUUUCACCGAGGGACGAAGCGAGAGUGACGGUACCUGGGGAAGAAGCGCCGGCUAACUACGCGCCAGCAGCCGC